CGGCGACCGGCGCACGGGUGCGUAACGCGUAUGCAACCUACCCAUAACAGGGGGAUAACACUGAGAAAUUGGUACUAAUACCCCAUAACAUCAGGACCGGCAUCGGUUCUGGUUGAAAACUCCGGUGGUUAUGGAUGGGCAUGCGUUGUAUUAGCUGGUUGGUGAGGUAACGGCUCACCAAGGCAACGAUACAUAGGGGGACUGAGAGGUUAACCCCCCACAUUGGUACUGAGACACGGACCAA
rnacentral:rRNA from 1 species